ACAGGGUUCGACAGGGAUGUUUGAACGCCGUAGUCGCAAGCCGGAGUUGGUCGAGGGCUCCGUUACAAAUCGACCAAAUCAAAAACGCCAACACACAAGAACUGGCGCUCGCUGCCUAAACCGCAGUGACAUUCGCCCAUCGACGCCUGCUAUUUGGGGCCGAAUGUCGACAGCAGGCUAGUCUAAAUCCGCCCGUCCUGCCGGAUUCUAGGCGAAACAACAGCGGGGCUGGCCGUCAGACGGUUCUGCUUCGUGACAGUCUGCCGGCGAGACCAAUACGAAACUAAGCUUGUAGAGACUUGACGGUCGCAUUCUUGGACGCGGGUUCGAUCA
rnacentral:tmRNA from 1 species